CACGUAGGCACCAAGCGUUGUCCGGAUUUAUUGGGCGUAAAGAGCUCGUAGGCGGUUUGUCGCGUCUGCCGUGAAAGUCCGGGGCUCAACUCCGGAUCUGCGGUGGGUACGGGCAGACUAGAGUGAUGUAGGGGAGACUGGAAUUCCUGGUGUAGCGGUGAAAUGCGCAGAUAUCAGGAGGAACACCGAUGGCGAAGGCAGGUCUCUGGGCAUUAACUGACGCUGGGGUGCGAAAGCAUGGGGAGCGAACAGG
rnacentral:rRNA from 1 species